UACGUAGGGUGCAAGCGUUAAUCGGAAUUACUGGGCGUAAAGCGUGCGCAGGCGGUUUUGUAAGUCAGUUGUGAAAUCCCCGGGCUUAACCUGGGAACUGCGUUUGAAACUACAAGGCUAGAGUGUGGCAGAGGGGGGUGGAAUUCCACGUGUAGCAGUGAAAUGCGUAGAGAUGUGGAGGAACACCGAUGGCGAAGGCAGCCCCCUGGGUUAACACUGACGCUCAGGCACGAAAGCGUGGGGAGCAAACAGG
rnacentral:rRNA from 1 species